rnacentral:rRNA from 1 species
AUUAAAAAUUAAAUUAAUAUAUUUUAAUUUAAUUAAUAACAAUAAAAAAAAUUUUUAAAAAUUUAGGUUAAUAAAUUAAUUAUUUAAAUUAAAUUUUGUAAAUAAAUAAUUAAAUUAAUAAAAGUUAAUUUUUUUUUUACCUUUUGUAUCAGGGUUUAUUAAAAUAAAGGUUUUAAAAAUAUUUUCUCGAAUUUAAAAAAUUUAAAUAAAUAUAAUUUUUAAUGUAGUAAAAUUAUUUUUAAUAUUUAUUUAAAAAUUAAAUGUAAUUUAAUUUUAACUUUAUCUAGUUAUUUAAUAAAUAAAUUUAAUUUAAUUUUAAUAAUUUUAAAUUAAUAGUUUAAUAUUAAUUUAAAAAAUUAAAAUUAUAAAUUAAGGGAUAACCUUUAAUUUAAAUUUUAAGGUUUAAUAAUAAAAUUUAUUUAAAUGUAAAUUUAAAAAUUUUUACAUUAAUAAAAAUUUAAUAAUUUAUAAUUUAAAUAAUUUUUUUUUAUUAAAUUUAAUAAUUUAUUAAAUUAAAAUUUUAAAUUUUAAAAAAUUUAAAAUAAUGAUAAAAUUAGUAAAUUAUACAUAUAUAUAUAUAUAUAUAUAUAUAUAUAUAUAUUUAUUUAAAAAUAAAAAUAAAAUUUUUUAGAUUAUUUUAAAUAAUUAGGCAAAAUUUAUUUUCAAAUGUUUAACAAAAACAUAGUUUAAAGAAUUUAAUUUUAAAUAUAAUUUGCUCAAUGAAUAUAUUUAAAUAGCUGCAGUAUAUUAACUGUACUAAGGUAGCAUAAUAAUUUGUUUUUUAAUUAAAAAAUAGAAUGAAAGAUUUAAUGAAAAAUAAACUGUUUCAAAAUAAAAAAUAAUUAAAUUUAAAUUUUAAGUUAAAAUACUUAAAUUUUUUUAAAAGACAAGAAGACCCUAUAAAAUUUUAUUAAAAACUUGAAAUUUUUAAUUUAAUUGGGGUAAUUUUAAAAUUUAUUAAAUUUUUAUUUUUUUUUACAUAAAUUUAUGAAAUUUAUAACUUUAAAUAUUUAAAAUUAAAAAAAAAUUACUUUAGGGAUAACAGGAUAAAAUUAUUUAUUAGUUCUUAUAUUUAAUAAUUUUUAUUACCUCGAUGUUGAAUUAAAAUUAAAUUUAAAUGAAAAAAAUUAAAAUUUUUAGU